rnacentral:rRNA from 1 species
UACGGAGGGUGCAAGCGUUAUCCGGAUUCACUGGGUUUAAAGGGUGCGUAGGAGGGCAGGUAAGUCAGUGGUGAAAUCUCCAAGCUUAACUUGGAAACUGCCGUUGAUACUAUUUGUCUUGAAUAUCCUGGAGGUAGGCGGAAUAUGUCAUGUAGCGGUGAAAUGCUUAGAUAUGACAUAGAACACCAAUUGCGAAGGCAGCUUACUACACAGUUAUUGACACUGAGGCACGAAAGCGUGGGGAUCAAACAGG